CCAACUUGCAGUCAUAUGAGCAGUAAUGAAUAAUUGCUGUUUUAACCACCGUUUACUUGGGUAGCUUGAUGUGAUCAUUAAUUUUAUGUGUCAGUUUGACUAAGCCAUGAGAUGCCCAGAUAUUUGGGCAAAUAUUAUUUCUGGGUGUGCCUGCAAGGGGAUUUCUGGAUAAGAUAAAUAUUUGAAUCAGGAGACUGAGUGAGCAGAUUGCCCUUCCCAAUGUGGGUGGGCCUCAUCCAAUCUGUUGAAGACCUAACUAGGAUAAAAAGCUGAGAAGGAAAGAAUUCUCUUCUCUGCCCGACUGACUUUGAGCUGGGACAUCAGUCUUCUCCGGCCUUCAAACUCGAACUCAAACUGAAACUUACACCAUUGGAUCUUUGGAUUCUUAGACCUUUAAGCUGGGAACUUCAACUGGAAAUAUACCACUGGCUCUCACAGAUCUCCAGCUUGCUGACUGCAGAUCUUGGACUUUUCAGCCUCCAUAAUCAUGCAUCUCUCUCCAUCUGCAUGCCCUUCCUCCCAGGCCACUUGGAAAGCUGCUCUCUUGAGCCUCCACCAUCUUGCCAGUUCUGCAAUUCCCCUUUUGAGACUCCAGGCAGCAGGCAUGGCUUCCACAUGCCCAUCGAGGCUGGAGUUCACUCUGUCAUGGCACUACUUCACUUAACUGGACUGACUUAUUCAACACUUCUGCCUCUCUUAGGUCUACAGCUAUGUAUAAAAUCUUGUAGGACCUUAAUAUAUACUAACUGAAUAAACUGAAUUAGUGAUUCAAUAAAUACGUCCUUAGGGUUUAUUGAAACAAAGAGAGUGUUAGAGAUUCCAGAAGAUCAACAAGAACCACAGGAAUGGCCUAAUUCUUGGGUAUAGAUACAGUGCAGAGUACUCUCCUGCUGAUUAGCUAAUGCUUCUAAUUCCCCCAUUAGCAUUUGACUCUUAGCUUAAAGUCAUGACCAAAGAAAGGAGCAAGUCCCCCUGGGAGGGGUUACACUGAAGCUGGAAUCAUUAAAAUGAACAUCAGUGAGGAAAAAUCAGUUUAGCACUUCCUGGAACGCAGGCCUCAGAAGGGUCAGAACCUCUGGAGAAGGGGAUGGAGGUGGCGGGCAGGAACACUGGGCUACUGAGACACUUCUCAGAGCUUGUCAGACUAAGAUCUGGAAUAAACAGCCCUGAACUCCUUCCCAGCUCAAUAUUCAGUUAUUUUAUGGCGACCUUUUCUUCUCACAGACACAUCCCUCCUCCAGCCACCCUUUUCCCCAGGCUGUGGAAACCACGCAAAUGAGUUGCAGUGUUUUUGUAAUUGUUGAUUCUGUGAGGCUAAGGCGGGUAAUAGAAAGAGCACUGAUUUGGAGUCAAAGACUCCAUAUCCAAGCCCUGGCUUUGCCAUUUCCAAACCGUGUGUUUCUGGACAAAUUGCUUUAAUGGUCAUAUAUUAUAAGUUCUUCCUCUGUGCCAGGCCCUCUGCCCAGGAUUUUACAUCUAGUGCUUCCAGUCCCUCAGCUCUGUGAAGGAGGCAGCACUGUCGGCAUUUCAUCCAUGAAGACACAGGGGACCAUGGCCACCGAGCGCAUGCCCAAGUCCAUCAGCCCAGCAAGUGAAUGGAUGAAAACCCCAGCACAGCUCAGUUCGCUCCAACUCCAGCUCUUCCUAUGUGCCAUGAGUCUCAGUUGGUUCAUCUGUAAAAUGAAGGGGCUGGAACAGUUGCCCUCCCGGCUCUUUUGUUUUAUGACUUGAUAUUUGCUUGUGAUUGGGGCAGGUUUGAAAUUACUUCAGAGACCCAGCUUCUGCCAAAUCGUAAUCAAGUUGGCUGCCUGGUCUGAGGCCCGAUGAACAAUACUGCGUCUGUGGCUCAGCCCUGCUUCAUGAUGGCCAUGGCACAUUUCCUGCGGUGUCGAGAGCCCUUUCGGGGGGCGGGGGAGGGGGAGGGGGAAGGGGGGGCGGUGCUGGCCCCGCAUCCCUUCAUUUCCCAUGCUCCAUUGCAAUAAGUCACCAGCCUUUCAAAACACAUCAGUGUGUUCCUUUUUAUUGCCAUCAAACCCUCUGCUCAUAUGAUGGCUCAAUCACUGUGAUUUAUUUUAAUUGAAAAGCCUACCGGCCACCCUCUGCCAAUGCAACUGGCCAGCUCCUGUGUCAUUUCCUACCAGAACAUCCCCUGCCAACCCACAGCAUCUGCACAGGCCAGUGAAGGGGAGGAGGUGAGCUCUGAAUGGCCAUUUGGCCUCAACCUGACAUCCAAGAAGAUCCUCAAAUGUACAUUUUAACCUUUUCUCCCCAAAUGAUAAUAGAUAUAAACUGCAUGUAUUUUGUAAGUUUUAAAAGCAAUCAUUUAUAAUGGCAUUUGCAGUAACCUGGAUGGAAUUGGAGACCAUUAUUCUAAGUGAAGUAACUCAGGAAUGGGAACCCAAACACCCCAUGUUCUCACUUAUAAGCAAGAGAUAAGCUAUGAGGAUGCAAAGGCAUAAGAAUGACACAAUGGACUUUGGGGACUCAGGGAAAGGGUGGGAGUCAGGUGAGGGAUAAAAGACUACACAUUGUGUACAGUGUACACUGCUCUGGUGAUGGGUGCACCCAAUUCUCAGCAAUCACCACUAAAGAACUUACUCAUGUAACCAAACACCACCUGUUGCCCAAAAAACCUACUGAAAUAAAAAUAAAUAAAUAAAUAAAAGCAGUCAUUUAUGAAUAGACUGUAUUUGUUAAACCCU
rnacentral:lncRNA from 1 species